GGGCCUUGUGCCUAUAAACCAUAAUACAACUUUCAACAACGGAUCUCUUGGCUCUCGCAUCGAUGAAGAACGCAGCGAAAUGCGAUAAGUAAUGUGAAUUGCAGAAUUCAGUGAAUCAUCGAAUCUUUGAACGCACCUUGCGCCCCUUGGUAUUCCGAGGGGCAUGCCUGUUUGAGUGUCAUUAAAUUCUCAAACUCACUUUGGUUUUUUUCCAAUUGUGAUGUUUGGAUUGUUGGGGGCUGCUGGCCUUGACAGGUCGGCUCCUCUUAAAUGCAUUAGCAGGACUUCUCACUGCCUCUGCGCAUGAUGUGAUAAUUAUCACUCAUCAAUAGCACGCAUGAAUAGAGUCCAGCUCUCCAAUCGUCCGCAAGGACAAUUUGACAAUUUGACCUCAAAUCAGGUAGGACUACCCGCUGAACUUAAGCAUAUCAAUAAGCGGAGGAAAAGAAACUAACAAGGAUUCCCCUAGUAACUGCGAGUGAAGCGGGAAAAGCUCAAAUUUAAAAUCUGGUGGUAUUUGGCCAUCCGAGUUGUAAUCUAGAGAAGUGUUAUCCGCGCUGGACCGUGUACAAGUCCCCUGGAAUGGGGCGUCAUAGAGGGUGAGAAUCCCGUGUGUGACACGGACUACCAGGGCUUUGUGAUGCACUCUCAAAGAGUCGAGUUGUUUGGGAAUGCAGCUCAAAAUGGGUGGUAAAUUCCAUCUAAAGCUAAAUAUUGGCGAGAGACCGAUAGCGAACAAGUACCGUGAGGGAAAGAUGAAAAGAACUUUGGAAAGAGAGUUAAACAGUACGUGAAAUUGUUGAAAGGGAAA
rnacentral:rRNA from 1 species